ensembl:lncRNA
UGUGUCCAUCUCACAAAUGUAGAAUCCAUCUCUGCAGUCAUCUCAACCAUCGAAUUACAGUGAAUUAACAGGAAAUAGACAAACUAUUUUACCCGCAGAAUUUAUUCUCUAUUACUAUUUUGCAGUGUUAAAUUCACCACUAAAUUUUAAAUUAAAAUAUGUUGUUGUAACUUGCAUUACUGAGAUUGUAACAAGUGAUAAUAUUACACAAAUUUUAUUAGUAAUGCGUUUUAUUACUGCGUUACAGCAAAAAGUAAUAUACUACUAUAAUAUUAUUACUUUUGUAAUGCGUUACUCCCAACACUUUUUUUAGUUACUAGUAACUUUUUAGACCAAAGAUAUCCUGAACUUAAUAGAUACUACUAGUACUUUUUAAAUUUGCAUUUCAGUCCAUUAUGGUAAUCGUAUGUUUGUCACGAUUUGCUACUGUGCGUGCACACAGAGUGAAGAAUGAGGAGACCAGGAGUACUAAACCAAGGAAUUUAUUUGUAUCGCGGGAAUCACACAUAGCACAAGGAGUUGACAUAAACAAUACUGGACCAAGAUACAGGGAACUGAACACUCUUUAAAUACACAGAGACAAUAGGGUACUUAACGUGCAUUCCGCAAAAAAAAAAAAAACUGACUUGACUCGGGAACUGCUGGCGGAGGGCUUCCGGGUUGGGAUCGGAGAAUCUUCAGACACCGGAUGACUGCCUCCUUCCAGCCGAGGUUGGUGGUGUCUGGGAGCUCCGCGGGGAACAGCGUCUCUAGGGUUUCCCCCUCGAGGGAGCUGGAGCUGACGCCCUAGCGAAGGCGAUGGGGUUGGGGCUUGCUUGAGCCAUGGCAAUGAACAUCGCCCAUUCAUCCAGUUCUGUGUGGCGAAACGAGCAGGGAAAAUGUAACAAAAAACUUCUCAAAAAACGAAAAAAAAACACGGGGAAAAGGGGUGUCGCUUACUUUGUUUUAGGUCCGGUAUUCUGUCACGGGGUGCUACUAUGAGGAGCACUGAGCGAGGAACAAGGAGAGGCAAUGUCCAAUUUAAAGUCUUUAAUCGAUCCAAAGGAAACAGGAAAAAACACGUAGCACUUGUAGACACAAACAAUACCGGAUGCCGAACUGAAAAUAAGGAACACUAUUUAAACAUGACAAGACGAGACUGGGAUCAAUGAAAAUACACAUGGGAAACACCUGGGAUGAAAUGAUAACCAAUCAGGAAGGAGGAACACAGACAAAAAAUGGAACAGAGUCUGACAGUAAUAUAUAAAACUGAGUAUUUAAGAAUAAAUAUAAUAAUAUAUAUAUAUUUGCACAAAAAAAGAAAAAAAAAAUUUCUAAACUGGAGAAAGACAUAAGAAUCUGCAAAUGUUUACCUCAAAGUUCUUAAUUAUUUUUGCUAUUUUUACCCAAAUUAGUGUUUUGUGAGCAAUAAUGAGUACUCAAUUAAUGUAAUUUCUUUUUCAUUUAUACUCAUUGCCGGAUGACACCCUCGCACAGAAAUUCCACAAGUGAGGCUCAUUGAUUAUGUUCCAGGAAAUCAUUUAUAUGGACAAAGAUUUUCAGCUUUCGCUGUAGAUGUAGUAGCUGAAUAACAUGCAGAUAGCCGAUUUACUGAUGAAACAUGAAGACAAUAAACAAUGAUUGUGACAAUAUAUGGUUUCUGUGUUCUUCAAGCCAUAUCGGAUAUUUUUAUAAGAAUAAAGUAUAUUUAAAAUGCAAUGGUAAUCGGCAUAGCCUUUAUCACUGUAUAGAAUAAUAUAAAGUGGCAUGAUUUCUGCCUAUUUCUGUUCCAUGAAACCAUGUCAGAUCAUAAAAAUGAGUUAUUUCAAAGAAUUGACUGAUGUUAUGAAGUGAAUUUGGAGUAAAACAUUAUACUUUCAUUAUACUUUUGUUGGACAGCAGGUUUGUAAUCUUAUAUUGUGUUUCCAUGGUAACCAAUUAGCAAGAUAGGCUAACAUACAAACCCAGUUAGCCCUACUUAAUCAAAUUAAUUCAGCAUAUUAAUGUAUUGUAUUACCAUGUGGACUCUGAUUGGACAGUGGAGAGGUACUCAUGUUUAUGUAAUGAUCUGUUUAAAUGAAGAUAUCUCCAAAUACAUUUUUACUAGUUCUUUAUGAGGUUGAAGAUAUCUCCAAAAGAACAGGAAGUAGUUUUUAUUCUGUUUUUGAUAUCAUCUUUUAAUUAGUGACUAGUGAUUAUUCUAAUAUGACUAGUAUCUAUUUAAAUAUGACUUGUAAGACUUCAUUAGAUACUAGUACUUAUUUGUUAGAUACUAGUACUAAUUAAUUAGAUACUAGUUACUAUUUAAUAGAUACUAGUAGUUAUUCAUUAGGCACUAGUACUUAUUUAUUAGACAGUAGUAUCUUUUGCAAUUAUUACUAGUAA